rnacentral:rRNA from 1 species
GGAGUUUGGGCCGUGUCUCAGUCCCAAUGUGGCCGUUCACCCUCUCAGGCCGGCUACUGAUCGUCGACUUGGUGAGCCGUUACCUCACCAACUAUCUAAUCAGACGCGGGUCCAUCUUACACCGAUAAAUACUUUUCUACACUGCAUCAUGCGAUACCGUGCGCUUAUGCGGUAUUAGCAGUCGUUUCCAACUGUUGUCCCCCUCGU